UACGUAGGGGGCUAGCGUUGUCCGGAAUCAUUGGGCGUAAAGCGCGUGUAGGCGGUUCGGUGAGUCCGCUGUGAAAGUCGGGGGCUCAACCCUUGAAUGGCGGUGGAUACUGCAGGGCUAGAGUCCGGAAGAGGCGAGUGGAAUUCCUGGUGUAGCGGUGAAAUGCGCAGAUAUCAGGAGGAACACCGAUGGCGAAGGCAGCUCGCUGGGACGGUACUGACGCUGAGGCGCGAAAGCGUGGGGAGCAAACAGG
rnacentral:rRNA from 1 species